UACGAAGGGUGCAAGCGUUAUCCGGAUUCACUGGGUUUAAAGGGUGCGUAGGUGGUUUUGUAAGUCAGUGGUGAAAGCCCGGAGCUCAACUCCGGAACUGCCAUUGAUACUGCUUAACUUGAAUCAACUUGAGGUGGAUGGAAUAUUACAUGUAGCGGUGAAAUGCUUAGAUAUGUAAUAGAACACCGAUUGCGAAGGCAGUUCACUAAGGUUGUAUUGACACUGAGGCACGAAAGCGUGGGGAUCAAACAGG
rnacentral:rRNA from 1 species